rnacentral:tRNA from 1 species
GCGGAUGUGGUGGAAUUGGUAGACACGCUAGAUUCAGAUUCUAGUGUUCGCAAGGACAUGGAGGUUCAAGUCCUCUCAUCCGCA